rnacentral:rRNA from 1 species
UGAGUACAUGUAGGUAUCUACCCUUUGGCCUGGAAUAACACGAGGAAACUUGUGCUAAUACCGGAUAAGUCUUUACGGAGAAAGCUUUAUGCACCAUUGGAUGAGCCUGCACUUGAUUAGUUUGUUGGUGGGGUAAUGGCCUACCAAGACUGUGAUCAAUAGCUGAUUUGAGAGGAUGAUCAGCCACAUUGGGACUGAGACACGGCCCAAACUCCUACGGGAGGCAGCAGUGGGGAAUCUUGCACAAUGGAGGAAACUCUGAUGCAGCGAUGCCGCGUGAGUGAAGAAGGCCUUUGGGUUGUAAAGCUCUUUCGUCGGGGAAGAAAAUGACUGUACCCGAAUAAGAAGGUCCGGCUAACUUCGUGCCAGCAGCCGCGGUAAUACGAAGGGACCUAGCGUAGUUCGGAAUUACUGGGCUUAAAGAGUUCGUAGGUUGUUGAAAAAGUUGGUGGUGAAAUCCCAGAGCUUAACUCUGGAACUGCCAUCAAAACUUUUCAGCUAGAGUAUGAUAGAGGAAAGCAGAAUUUCUAGUGUAGAGGUGAAAUUCGUAGAUAUUAGAAAGAAUACCAAUUGCGAAGGCAGCUUUCUGGAUCAUUACUGACACUGAGGAACGAAAGCAUGGGUAGCGAAGAGGAUUAGAUACCCUCGUAGUCCAUGCCGUAAACGAUGUGUGUUAGACGUUGGAAAUUUAUUUUCAGUGUCGCAGCGAAAGCGAUAAACACACCGCCUGGGGAGUACGACCGCAAGGUUAAAACUCAAAUGAAUUGACGGGGACCCGCACAAGUAGUGGAGCAUGUGGUUUAAUUCGAAGAUACGCGCAGAACCUUACCAACACUUGACAUGUUCGUCGCGACUUUAAGAGAUUAAAGUUUUCGGUUCGGCCGGACGAAAC